UCUCGAUUGGUCUAGUGGUAAGGAUACCUGCUUGUCAUCCCAUACAUAAAUUCUCAGAAUGAAUCGCAGGUGGCCGGGGUUCGAUUCCCCGAUCGAGAG